ensembl:rRNA 5S_rRNA 5S ribosomal RNA
GUCUAUGGCCAUAUCACCCUGAACACACCCAAUCUUGUCUGAUCUUGGAAGUUAAGCACUGUCAGACCUGGUUAGUACUUGGAUGGGAAACCUACUACCCCAUGCCCCAGGCCACUAUCACUU